rnacentral:misc_RNA from 1 species
AACGAGGCCGACCUGCGGCUGAGUUACCUGCGGAGGGAUCAUUACACAACAAAAUAUGAAGGCCUGGCUUCGCGGCCGGCUGAAGUAUUUUUUUUUCACCCAUGUCUUUUGCGCACUUGUUGUUUCCUGGGCGGGUUCGCCCGCCACCAGGGCCAAACCAUAAACCUUUUUUUUUAUGUAGUUGCAAUCAGCGUCAGUAAAAACAAUGUAAUUAUUACAACUUUUAGCAACGGAUCUCAG